UUAAUUCAGUAGAAAAAGGUUAUGGCUAGAAUUUCAUUGUAAAGUUAAAGUGGUCCAAAGCCUUCUUCUGAUGAUAUAUAUGCACUUACAGACUGAAGAACUUGCAUCAUGGCAUGUUUUGAGGCUGUUGCAAUUUGUCAGGCACUGGGGCAAUCAAAAUUAAGCUCUUCUUCUGAGUAAAAUCACAUUGCAUUAAGUUAUAUGUCUUUCCUAAUCCAGACCAGCAAAGCUGGUUCUAAUUUAGUUCUUUUUCAAAAAAUCUCUAGUUUAGGAAUGUGAGAUAUUGUCCUUUUAAGAGCCAAUUUAAGACCUGGAUUUUUAGGCAGGCUUUCCCUCCUGUCAUCACUUGAUUAUUUUUUUUAAUCUUUUCCCCAUCUUGAAUGAUAUUACUAUUGUUGUUCUCUAUUUUUUUUUAUUGCUUUUAUGCCAUUUUUAAUUGUUAGCUGCCCAGAGUAGACUUGGGUCUAAAUGAGCGGGGUAUAAAUUUAAUAAAUAAAUAAUAAAUAAAAUAAUAAAUUAAGAUUCACCUGUUCCAGGCCACAUUGAUCCCACUUGCCAAAUUAGUAUUAGCAUUGGUUGGGUUUUUAAAAUAGGAAAUACACAACAUGUAAUGGUGCUUUGUUUUGUUUUCUAAUGUUUGAAAACAUAGCAAUACAGCAAAGUACAGCCUGCCCCAAAAGGCACUGGGAGUUCUGACAAGAAUAAAAUGAAUAGUAUUGAGGAGAAAAACAGUUUAUGCAAGAAAAAGCAGGAUCAGAGAUACAUUUGCAUUGCCUAUUACAGGUAUGAUGACCUGAGAAUACCACUGCAGAAAAGGUUUAACUGUAUCAGCCUUUCUAUGCUAGGUUUUAUCUGUUUAGUUAAGCAAAUAGAUCACCUUCAAAUGUGCCCUUCAUUUUUAGUGAUUUGUUCAUAUUUGUAACCCAGUCCAUGCAAAUAGCUUGGAACAGGUAACACCAUUAGUCUUAAAUCUGGUUAAAUUAUUAAAUCCACAUCUUGCUGUAUUCCUGGUCAGCAGAAACCAUCUUAAAUAUAUAUAUCUUAAAUUGUUUGUACAAGAUGAAAGGCAGCUCACUUGAGACAGACCACAAUCUGAAAGGGUUGUAUGCAUUUUUUUUUACUUUGAUAGAUUGUACUAUAACAGUUACUGAGGAAAGACAGAAGUUGUAGCCUCAUAGAUGUUAGUGUGAAUAUGAAGCUGGAGCACAGUUCUUAUUAACUUGCAUUUGUAAUUAAAAUAAUUAAAUAGAAGGGAAGAUGAAGAUUCAUUCAUGAUGACAGUUCAUAAUCACUGGUUACUGCCAUGCUCUCAUAGAAAUUAUAGAAGCCAUUUGUAAGAGCCUGGCAUGCAGAUGCAAACACUCACAGGAACAGUUGAGGUUGUAACUUUGUAAAUGUAGAAAGGAAUACACUAUCAGCAUCUCAAGUCCUGAGCAGAUUGCAAUCCAGUGGGGUGUUUUUCUGAAUAGCACUCCAAAAAAAUGAAUCACAUAUGGUUUAGGAAUUACUAUACUGUACUGGUUAU
rnacentral:lncRNA from 1 species